rnacentral:rRNA from 1 species
GACGAACGCUGGCGGCGUGCUUAACACAUGCAGGUCGAACGGAAAGGCCCUGCUUUUGUGGGGUGCUCGAGUGGCGAACGGGUGAGUAACACGUGAGUAACCUGCCCUUGACUUUGGGAUAACUUCAGGAAACUGGGGCUAAUACCGGAUAGGAGCUCCUGCUGCAUGGUGGGGGUUGGAAAGUUUCGGCGGUUGGGGAUGGACUCGCGGCUUAUCAGCUUGUUGGUGGGGUAGUGGCUUACCAAGGCUUUGACGGGUCGCCCGCCUGGGAGGGUGACCGGCGACCAUGGGACUGAGAUACGGCCCAGACUCGUACAGUAGGCAACAGUGGCGAAUAUUGCACAGUCGGCCGGCGUGUGAUGAAGAGACGCCGCGGGCGGGAUGACGGCCUUCGGGUUAUAAACCGCUUUCGCCUGUGACGAAGCGUGAGUGACGGUAAUGGAUAAAGAAGCACCGGCUAACUACGUG